rnacentral:tRNA from 6 species
GUCGGGGUGGCGGAACGGUAGACGCGCUAGCUUGAGGGGCUAGUGCCUGCAUAAGGCGUGGAGGUUCAAGUCCUCUCCCCGACA